CAGGUGUUCUUCCCUCAUUUACCAAACUGAUGCCAGAAGAGGACGGCGCUGCCUCACGAACCUCUGCUUCUUUUUCUGCGGAAAAGCUGAAUUUCUAGAGACGCUGGUUGGAAACGGAGCCUCCGGAGUUUACUGAAGACCACAGACGAGCAACAAACACCAGACCAGCGAAUAUGGAUUUGGACGCCGUCCGAGGAGCCUAAAAUCAGACAGCAGGUGCAGAAGCAAAAAGGCACCAGCAGAGGAAAAGUCUUCUUCUGCAUGAAAGCUGUUGAAACAAUGGCUAUGGGAGUGUUUCUGAAGUGGGUGAGGCUCGAGAUUCUUGUUGGAGGACGUGCACGUCGAUGGAACUAACCAAACUUUCUUUUCAACAGGUAGAUCUACGAAUCGUGAGAGCUGUAUUUUUUUUGUUUAUGGCCACUGUGCCAUCUAUCCUCUAUUUUCCAUUUCCUCUUUCCAUCUUAAAGUUGGCCUUCAUGUAGGACUGUAACGGUACACAAAGCUUCAUAGAAUACCUCAGUUUUGAGGUUUGAUUCAAAGUCCUUUAGUACAGCUCAGAAUUGACCAUUAAACUAUCAGCUGAAGAGUUCCAGGUUUUCUGACCAUGUGUACCGUUCCAUCCUGAUGUGGUCAGCGUGCUGUUGUAACUUUUUGUUUCCAGGUUGAUCAUCCUUCUGUUCGUCUCCCCGUAGUUUAGCCUUUAGUGCGUCGUUUAGAUGAUCCCUCAACAGUAAGUCUCACUUUCCAUACUUAUUUUGCUGGUUUGUCUCUCCUCGGCCGCCGUGCCGACCUGUCCUGUCUUUCCAACAUGGCCGCCGUGCCGUGUUUUUCGCAUCCUGGCCGCCGUGCCGCUUCUUCAGCCUGUCUCUAUCCAUUUCUCACCAUGCGUCGUCCAGCAUGGCCGUCGAUCCGUAGUUUGAAACCAUGCUGGAGAAGACAUUUUCUCUGGAUCUAUGGAUAGUAGGUGGUAAGUUUCUUUAAAUGUUGGUUCUGGUGUUGGGCUCAGUCUUGAUCUCUCAUUCUCUCUCUUAGUAUGUCUAUAAUGGCCGGUUUGCUAAACUUACUGUGUAAUAGAGCUGUGAAGAUUAUUGCGUUCGUUUAGCAGUAUAUUCUCGUGUUGUACAAAUGCCUUCAUGUGUCUGCUGUAUCGGUCUGUAUUUAAAGAUGGUCAUCGCCUCCGACAGCCAAAUUCAUAGACUGUAGUGUAGCUGUGGGCAUCUUUACAUACAGACUGUGCAGUGUGGUCAAGCUGCCUUGUUGUGGCUCAGCAGUUGCAACGAGGCAGCUUCACCUGACAAGUGAUCUCUGUCAUACUGAACUGUCAUCUCCUGCAUGUCCAGCACCUCUUUAUAUCUGUACCUGUCUGUCAAGCAUGAUCACUACAUCUGCCACGCCUCUGUGGCUGCACUACCUGUGGUAUUCCUUGUUCUUCCCUCAUUCACCAAGCUGAUGCCAGAAGAAGACGGAGCUGCAGCAGGAACUUCCAGAGACGAUGACUGGAAAUGGAGUCUUCAGAGUCUAUGAAAGUUCUCAGAUGCGCAGCAAUCACCAGACCACUGCACAUGGAUGGAGAUGCCAUCUGACUGAGGAGCUGAAAAUCAGACGACAG